rnacentral:rRNA from 1 species
GCAUAUCAAUAAGCGGAGGAAAAGAAACCAACAGGGAUUGCCCCAGUAACGGCGAAGUGAAGCGGCAACAGCUCAAAUUUGAAAUCUGGCCCCCAGGGCCCGAGUUUGUAAUUUGCAGAGGAUGCUUUUGGCGCGGUGCCUUCCGAGUUCCCUGGAACGGGACGCCAUAGAGGGUGAGAGCCCCGUCUGGUCGGACACCAAGCCAGUGUAAAGCUCCUUCGACGAGUCGAGUAGUUUGGGAAUGCUGCUCUAAAUGGGAGGUAUAUGUCUUCUAAAGCUAAAUACCGGCCAGAGACCGAUAGCGCACAAGUAGAGUGAUCGAAAGAUGAAAAGCACUUUGAAAAGAGGGUUAAACAGUACGUGAAAUUGUUGAAAGGGAAGCGUUUAUGACCAGACUUGGGCCCGGUGAAUCAUCCAGCGUUCUCGCUGGUGCACUUUGCCGGGCUCAGGCCAGCAUCAGUUCGCCGCGGGGGAUAAAGGCUUCGGGAACGUGGCUCCCUCGGGAGUGUUAUAGCCCGUUGCGUAAUACCCUGUGGCGGACUGAGGUUCGCGCUCCGCAAGGAUGCUGGCGUAAUGGUCAUCAGCGACCCGUCUUGAAACACGGACCAAGGAGUCGUCUUCGUAUGCGAGUGUUCGGGUGUCAAACCCCUACGCGUAAUGAAAGUGAACGCAGGUGAGAGCUUCGGCGCAUCAUCGACCGAUCCUGAUGUUCUCGGAUGGAUUUGAGUAAGAGCAUACGGGGCCGGACCCGAAAGAAGGUGAACUAUGCCUGUAUAGGGUGAAGCCAGAGGAACUCUGGUGGAGGCUCGCAGCGGUUCUGACGUGCAAAUCGAUCGUCAAAUAUGGGCAUGGGGGGCGAAAGACUAAUCGAACCUUCUAGUAGCUGGGUUUCCGCCGAAG